CUCGGCAUCUGGGCCUGCGAGGGGAGUGUUGGGUGCUGCGACAGACCUUGGGAUCCUCAGAGGCUGAGGAGGCCUUCUCUAGCCAAGGCCGGUCGAAACCACCUUGUUUGUGAUAGCCACACGAAUAACGGAGCUUUACAAGAUCCCUUAUACCCAAAAUAGAGGUGGCAGCAUUGGCUAGCAUCUCUGCGCCCCUUCGCCCUGCAUUCCGGCCUCUUCCUUUAGCCUCGGCGCGGCUUGCGUUCCGCGUGUACCAAGGGAAGUGGCGGCCGACCUGAGCGCGCUUUGGCGGGUGGAAGUGGUGACUUUGUUGUCCUGUGUGGACGAAUGUGUAAUAUAAAGUGACCCUCAAGGAAUCUGGAGAGGGCUGCUUUACAGUAUUUGAAGAACACAGGGCUGUGGACCCUAUCGGUUCCCAAAUGAAAGCUCCCCGGGGAGCGUGUUUUUGCCAGUAUGGGGAAGUAGGGCGGAGGCAUAGGAAUGACCGCGAGAGUGGCUGCUUUCAUAGCUCCGCUUGCGAAACUCCUGCCCGGCCUUUGACACCGCCACGGCUUUCAGUAAUCUGGAAAAUCCCUAGUUUCCAAAAAUAGUCUUAGGGCGAGGACUUGACAGAGGUAAUUUGAUUAUGCCUGGGAGUCUCUAUUCAUACAUGGUUACCUACCGCGGGUAGGGUGAGGUCAACCUCGUGUUUUUUGUUUUUUUUCCUGUGAUAUUAGCUAGCAAUUUCCAGCGUUUCCUGAACCUUGAAGUAAAAACAAUGAUACUGAUCUAAACUACUAGAAUCUAGGUUGGAAGGAAAGGAAUGCAUCACGUUUUACUCUUGACGCUCAGAAAGCGAUACCCCAAAGACAGAGGCUUUAGAAGCUGCCUCAUAAUGCAGGUCCCCCAACCUUGACUUGUUGCUCCCACUUUUCCCAAGUGCAGGGAGGUACUCUCUGAAAUUUCCUUUCCUGACUAGAGAAGCCUCUUUGUAGAAGAAUCAAUCGCAUUCCUCCCCUCGCUGAAAUCUCGUAUCCUAUUUCAAAAAGACUCAGAAAUGCAGCCAUUCCUGGAGGGACUUUUUCACAAGAUUACUCAAAAGAAAAUUAUUUACUAAUUUCUGUCCAUUCAUUGUUCCUAAUAAUCAUUUGCUGCUCCUCAAAAUAAAUGUCUACAUUUCUCAUCUACCCUUUCCCCUAUGAAAAAAAGAUAUAAAAUCUUCUGUACUCCAUUAAGCUACUGGGUAAUCAUCCUCCUGCUUUUACCCCGGUGUUAUGUAUCCCUUUUCUCCUGUUAAUCGCCUGUUAUCAGUUGAUUUUUUUUUUCUUUUUUUUUAGAUAGAGUCUCACUCUGUCGCCCAAGCUGAAGUGCAGUGGCGCGAUCUCGGCUCACUGCAGCCUCCGCCUCCGGGGUUCAAGCGAUUCUCCCACCUCAGCCUCCCCAGUAGCUGGGAUUACAGGCACACACCACCACGUCCAGCUAAUUUUUGUAUUUUUGUAGAGACGGGGUUUUGCCAUGUUGGCUAGGCUGGUCUUGAACUCCUGACCUCAGGUGAUCCGCCCGCCUCGGCCUCCCAAAAUGCUGGGAUUACAGGCAUCCAAAGCGCUGGAAUUACAGGCAUGAGCCACCGCACCCGGCCUUAUCAGUUGAUUAAGUGAACCUUCAGUGGGCAAAGUUGUUUUAAAAUGUACUGAUACUUGAGCCUUGCCUGCAGAGGUUGAUGUCACUGAUUUAAGGUGGGCCCAGCCAGUGGUUCAGUUUUGCCUGUCUUCGAGUGAUUGGAAUGUACAGCCAAGAGAGUGUAAUUAUGGUGCUGGCAGAAGUAUUAACCUAUCUGGAUGUCACUGUCUUCACUUUCUGACUAGGCUGCUUCCAGGGAAUCUUUCCACCUCAAUAUUUAUGAGAUAUCUAUAAUUUUAUAACAAACUUUUAAAGGAGCCUCGGUUUCCUUAAACACAAUUGAUGACACCAGUUUUCUGGUUUUCUUCCAUUUUUGUUUAUAGAGCCAGGGUCUCACUGUGUUGCCCAGGCUGGCCUUGAACUCCUGAACUCAAGGGAUCUUCCCACCUCAGCCACCUGAGUAGCUGGGACUAUAAGUGGCACACCACUGUGCCUGGUCAGUUUUCUGGUUUUGAUAAUCUAUGGUUGUGUGAGAUAUUAUCAUUGGGGAAAGUUGGAGGAAUACAUAGGAGUAGUCUAUCUUUGCAACUUCCAUGUCUUAUUUCCAAAUAAAAAGUAAAAACCCUCAUUGAUUAUGUACUUCAUUAAAACACUGGACUUCAAUGAAAUCAUCACCUAUAUUUGUAAUGACUUGAGAGUAAUAUAAUUUAACUUUUUUUUUGACUUCUGAACUUUUUAUUGGCCUCCUGCUCCCCAAAGGGUACCCUGCUUCUGAUGGCUUAAUGUCUCAGAACUUGGGUGUCGUUGGUCUCAGAUACCACUUUGCCAUCCACUAUCCAGCAGAUAGUGGUCUUUUGGAUGGUUUGCAUGGAGUUGCUGCUGUCCAGGGCAUCACCAAGAUUGAAGUCCUUGCCAUCUUCCAGCAGGCGGCGGUAGGUGGCGAUCUCAGCCUCUAGCUUGACCCUGAUGUUCAGCAGGGCCUCGUACUCCUGGGCCUGGCACUGUCCCUCUGCCCAGGCCUGUGCCAGCUCUGACUCCAGGUGCAGCAGGAUCCCGUUGAGCUGCUCCAUCUGCAGGGCGUGGCAGGCCUCCACCUCCCUCAGGCUGUUCUCCAAGCUGGCCUUCAGAUUUCUCAUGGAGUCCAGGUUGAUCUCCAAGGACUGGACUGUAUGUCUCAGCUCCGUGAGCGUUAUAGCAGCUCCAACCUCGACGGACUGCGUGGUGACCCCUGUGUUGCUCUCCUCAAUCUGUUAAGACCAGUACUUGUCCAGCACCUAUUGGUUCUUCAUGCCAGCUCAUCAUAUUGGGCCCGGAUGUCUGCCAUUAUCUUGGUGAGGUCCUGAGAUUUGGGGACAUCUACCUCCACAGUCAACCCAGAGCUGGCAGUCUGGGCUUGUAGGCCUUUUACUUCCUCUUCGUGGUUCUUCUUCAUGAAGAGCAGCUCCUCCUUGAGAGCCUCAAUCUAUCUCCAGCUGCAGCCGAGUGACAUUAGUGUCAUGGAUUUUGUUCCCAUGGAUGUUGUUCUUCAGAGGCUGGCACGUGGCCAGCUCUGUCUCAUACUUGACUCUAAAGUCAUCAGCAGCAAGAUGGGCAUUGUCAGUCUGCAGAACGCAUUGUCCACAAUAUUUGUGAAGAUCUGAGCCCUCAGGUCCUCAAUGGUCUUGAAAUAAUGGCUCCAGUCUCUGACCUGGGGUCCCUGCUUCUCCAGGUGCUCCCGGAUUUUGCUCUCUAGCCUCCGGUUCUCGGUCUCCAGGCUCCUCACUCUGUCCAGAUGUGGGCCACCAGCCUUAAGCCAGAGGGAGCUUUGUAAGACAGGAACAUAUAAAAUGAUAAAAGCUUCUCUACGUACAGUUUUCCUGACUCUGAUUCUGCGUGGGACAACCAGUGAAAAUUGCAGGUGAAGAGAAGAAAUGCGUAUUUAUUCCUCCACUGGGAAAAAAAAUACCAUCCAAAGCUACAUGACUUGAGAGACAAGGUCUCACUAUGUUGCCCAGGCUGGCCUCGAACUCCCGGGCUUCAGCAGUCCUCCCGCCUCACCCUCCGAUGUAGCUAGGACUACAGGACCGCGACCCGGCGCUGCCUAAGAACUGUUUUUAAACGUGAAAGCCACGGCUAUCAUUUGCUUUUUGCUCUGCUCUUCAUCUUCUGGAUAAACCUCGUAACACACUGCUUGUUUUGGGUGGUAGUCUGCUGCCUACGCCCCGUCAGACAAGUGGCCUGAGUCCCCCGCAACCCCUGCAGGUCCGGCCGCCGGCGCCAAGCCUCAAGGCAUCCAAGCCAGGAACGAUCGCGGUCAGCUCUGCCACGGAACAUGUGCAAGACCCGGCAGCAGGUUCCGGGGGAGGCGAAUUGAUUUCACAACGGUCGAGAAGGAGGACCCCGCCCACUUCGUCAUUUCUCGGAAGCCCAGGGACUCGCCGGAAGAGCGGCUCAAAAGCCGGAAAACUGGCAAAUCCGAGUCUCCCGGCGCAUGCGCGGCGCAAUCGGCUUCGCGUGGUUGCAGUAGAGAGGAUCCCUCCGCCAGCCACUGCAUCCGGCGGCCGGAUCUAACUUACCCGCUAGCGUUUUACCCUUGCGCGGCCGUGGCGUAGGGCGGUCUUUUCCCUUGGUCCUCCGCGGCGCCGCCUCUUGUGACGUAAGCCGCAGAAUCCUCUGUCUUAGUUCGGCUCUAUUGCCGCGAGCUUGACUCUUCCUGGGUCUGAGGAAAAGUAAAAGUAAUUUUGUCAUUUCCUGAAACUUCAAGUUAAACCUUUAAGCUGUUCAUUUCCUAAAAGGGUGAAAACGCGGGCACCCCUCGAGCUAGUUCAUCGCCUUUUAACCUGUUGUUGGAUCUUUCCAGAUCACCACACCACAUCACCCAGCCACUCUGCCCAAUGGGAGGGCAGACAGUGUUCCAGUGUAGGAGGAAGGGGUGUAAGGUGCGGGCAGUUUGUGAGGAGGGCACCAACGAGAGCUACUGUGAGAAAGUCUGCAUGGUCAAAAAGUGGAUUACCAAGAACAAAGCAUCAUAAUGUUGUCCAGUGGACCCCAGAACCCAAGAAGACCUUCUACUGAUGAUCACAUUCAAAUUUUAAAUGUCUAGUGACUAAGAGACUAAUCACAUGGGGCUGCUUAGAUUUAUCGAGGAGGACAGGAGUGCCAAAACUCUAAGUUGUUUUUUGUAGGGUGUAAGAACAAAGGCAUCUCAUGUGUCUCGAGAAAUGAGUGAAAGUCAUGACCCAGUUCUUCCUCCUACUUUAACAAAAUGUGACUGAAGAGGAAGCCAGAUGUGUUCUAGGACAGACCAGCUGACUAACUCUUACUGUCAACAUACACUGUGCAAUUCCAAGACACAAGGGCAACUGAUAAAGAAGAUUAGCUUGGUUUUCCAGAAAUAAGUUCUGCUCUGUUCAAUCUCCUUGCUCAAUCUCCAUUCUCUCAUUCAUGUGGAAUAACAAGAUCUGC
rnacentral:lncRNA from 1 species